rnacentral:rRNA from 1 species
GAUGAACGCUGGCGGCGUGCCUAAUACAUGCAAGUCGAGCGAACGGACGAGAAGCUUGCUUCUCUGAUGUUAGCGGCGGACGGGUGAGUAACACGUGGAUAACCUACCUAUAAGACUGGGAUAACUUCGGGAAACCGGAGCUAAUACCGGAUAAUAUUUUGAACCGCAUGGUUCAAAAGUGAAAGACGGUCUUGCUGUCACUUAUAGAUGGAUCCGCGCUGCAUUAGCUAGUUGGUAAGGUAACGGCUUACCAAGGCAACGAUGCAUAGCCGACCUGAGAGGGUGAUCGGCCACACUGGAACUGAGACACGGUCCAGACUCCUACGGGAGGCAGCAGUAGGGAAUCUUCCGCAAUGGGCGGAAGCCUGACGGAGCAACGCCGCGUGAGUGAUGAAGGUCUUCGGAUCGUAAAACUCUGUUAUUAGGGGAGAACAUAUGUGUAAGUAACUGUGCACAUCUUGACGGUACCUAAUCAGAAAGCCACGGCUAACUACGUG